CUUGAUCGACCCCAACCACAACGGCUCCGCGCCCGGCUCGCCACCGCGCUGCCCGUAGGUGGCCACGAUCGCCUGCGCCUC
rnacentral:antisense_RNA from 1 species